rnacentral:rRNA from 1 species
AUUGAACGCUAGCGGGAUGCUUUACACAUGCAAGUCGAACGGCAGCGCGGACUUCGGUCUGGCGGCGAGUGGCGAACGGGUGAGUAAUGUAUCGGAACGUGCCCAGUAGCGGGGGAUAACUACGCGAAAGCGUAGCUAAUACCGCAUACGCCCUACGGGGGAAAGGAGGGGAUCGUAAGACCUUGCAGUAUUGGAGCUGCCGAUAACGGAUUAGCUAGUUGGUGAGGUAACGGCUCACCAAGGCGACGAUCCGUAGCUGGUUUGAGAGGCCGACCAGCCACACUGGGACUGAGACACGGCCCAGACUCCUACGGGAGGCAGCAGUGGGGAAUUUUGGACAAUGGGGGCAACCCUGAUCCAGCCAUCCCGCGUGUGCGAUGAAGGCCUUCGGGUUGUAAAGCACUUUUGGCAGGGAAGAAACGACGCGGGCUAAUACCCCGUGGAACUGACGGUACCUGCAGAAUAAGCACCGGCUAACUACGUG